UANNUGCAGUCGACGAUGAAGCCAGCUUGCUGGUGGAUUAGUGGCGAACGGGUGAGUAACACGUGAGUAACCUGCCCUUAACUCUGGGAUAAGCCUGGGAAACUGGGUCUAAUACCGGAUAUGACUCCUCAUCGCAUGGUGGGGGGUGGAAAGCUUUAUUGUGGUUUUGGAUGGACUCGCGGCCUAUCAGCUUGUUGGUGAGGUAAUGGCUUACCAAGGCGACGACGGGUAGCCGGCCUGAGAGGGUGACCGGCCACACUGGGACUGAGACACGGCCCAGACUCCUACGGGAGGCAGCAGUGGGGAAUAUUGCACAAUGGGCGCAAGCCUGAUGCAGCGACGCCGCGUGAGGGAUGACGGCCUUCGGGUUGUAAACCUCUUUCAGUAGGGAAGAAGCGAAAGUGACGGUACCUGCAGAAGAAGCGCCGGCUAACUACGUGCCAGCAGCCGCGGUAAUACGUAGGGCGCAAGCGUUAUCCGGAAUUAUUGGGCGUAAAGAGCUCGUAGGCGGUUUGUCGCGUCUGCCGUGAAAGUCCGGGGCUCAACUCCGGAUCUGCGGUGGGUACGGGCAGACUAGAGUGAUGUAGGGGAGACUGGAAUUCCUGGUGUAGCGGUGAAAUNGCGUANA
rnacentral:rRNA from 1 species